CGCCGCCGCCAAACGUGCCCCCUCCAAAGAAGUACCACGCAGGUCGAGCUCCUGGAUCACCACGCCCCUCGUGCCCACCCGCCGCCCCGACCAACGACAUGCUAGCCAUCAAUACCGGACAGAUGGAUGAUGGAUCAGCACAGAAGUCACCUGAUUCCCUUUGAGAUGAACCCCAUCGAGCCUCAUCAUCCUACAGUUCCCGGCCGGUUGUUCCUCCUGCUGCCUGUCGACGGCAUGCAUCACCUCCAGCAUAUCGAACCAUAGUAACAAUCAGCACCUACACUUCCCUAAAUUGAAGUACUUACGCCAAGCAUGUCGUCCACAAUUUCUUUUAAGUCUGUCGGUGUUGACGUCGGUGAGGACGCCGAUUAUGUUCUGGACGGCGACCCUCAUAAGCUGGUUGUGUCUGCCAUUGCAGGUGUAAAGGGGAGGAGUAAGGGCGCGCUUGGAUUGGAUGUAUUUGAAUACACCGGUAUUUAACUUACAGGUGUAAUUUACCGAGCUGCGAAGGAGUUUCGGCUGGAAAUGAAACGGCCGACGGAGGUCCGUAUAUUUUCUACAAGGGUAUUUGAGUGGAAACGACAAUCCAAACAUGCCCUAAGAGGGUGGUGGCACCUACCACGAAGUGGGACUGUUGUGGUUCAAGUGGUAUUAAUUUAUUUUGUUCCGUCAAUUUUGGCCCACAUAUUACUACUUCCUUGCAUUUUGUGGGUACCUUAGAGAUCGUUCCUUGUUAUGUUGAGGUUGUGUGUAGAGAUGAUCAGACAAGUUACUUCAUCGGACAUUUAUAUUUUUUAUUUGAGAAUUGAAUAGCAUCCGUGGUUCAGGGCAUGGGUUCGUUGCAUACUUUCUAAUUCAAAUGGUUUCUAAUGAUUCAUACAGUCACAGAAACAAGAAUAAGAGGAGGCAUUCUUUGAAUAAGGUAGAAAGUGUAAAAGAACAAGGUGGCAAACAUUGUAAAGAGGAUCCAUAGUUAAUCACUGGUGGCAAAAUUUUAUUUAGUCUGAUUCUACUAAUAAUGUCAUCAGUGCUUUCAGAAGAGGAGAUUUCUUGUCCUCAUUGCAACAACUACCACCAAGAUAGUGGAUCCGCCUGACAUUGUCGUUGCUGCAGCAUGCCGGUCGGUGAGUCUUGCGAGCAUAGGUUUUGUGGUGGUCAGCGACAGCAUGAACCAAUGUCGAUGUCACUGUCCUCACAAUCCCAGGCUCAUUGUCGAACGCAUCGCUCUCAUAUCAACAAUGUUCUGCUUUGGAUGAUCUCAUUUCCUGUCUUUAUUGUCUUCUAUGCUUAGGUGUGUGUAUGAAAGAAUGCCUUCUGAUGUGCCCUGGGUUAAAAGAAGGAUCAGUGCAUGCUUAAAUGUAAUACUUCAGUAAUGGGGUAGUGUAGCUGCCUUGAAGUGAUUUAGGUUGGUAGCUUUGCUUGGUGUACAAAAGGUUUGCAAUGCUUGUAUCCAUGUGCUUUUGGUUAGCUUAAUCCAAUUGUCUUGGUUCCUCUUAGUAUGCAGGUGUAUCCUCUAAUGAUAUGGUGCUUCUAUGAUGUAAAGGUUCCUAUUAUGAAACUACUUUUUUAUGCAUUCCAUUAACUGCAUGAUCCUAUGCACGUAGAUGUAAUUUUAGCAUACCUAACAUUUGAUAGUAUACAACUAUACAUAAUUCAUGUGACAUGUACGUCUUUUUUGUUCUAAAGAGAAAUUCCACUAGGGGAAAAAAUGAGCAUUCUCUUGAUAUAGCUGGUAUGAACUGAAUAGCAAAGCAAUUGAGUUAUGGUCUCUUGUUAAUUGUCUCAUUUCUUAUUUUCUUGGCCUUGUGGUUUGGAUUAGAAAGCCAAUGAAAUCAAUGCAUCAGAAUUUGAUUUUGGAUGACUACAUAUGCUUAAUAAUUGUGUUUUUUUUUGUGGGGUUUAGGAAUUAUGGCUACAACUAGCGCCUCGGUAUUUGCAUAUAAAAAGGUGAUUUUGUUUGGCAAUUGCAUAUGUUUGCGAACAAGAGGGUUUCUCAUCAUGCACAGAGAAAUAAUUUAUUGUAUCUGUAUAUUUUACUAGACCAUUGGCGCCCUUUUGAGCCAGGAUAUAACAUGAUAUGUGUUCCCUGACAUGGUAAUCUAAGAAUUUUUUGUUAGUUUAUAUCAUGCAGUGUGUCCCCUGGUAGCUCAGCUUUCAGAUAAUUACAGAACUAUAGCAAUAAAAUCCCAUUGGUGCUUUAUGCAGGAUUGGAGCUUUGACACAAUAGGAAAUUAUAGCAAGGUCUUAGUGAAUGCAUAUCUUGGUCCUGGAAAUUGAUCUUAUAUCUCUACCUCUUUGCAUUAUGUGCUUGUUUUUUCUACCUUGGAUUUUUAGAUCAUUAAUGGAUAUAUUAUUACCGAAAAAGGGUGAUAGUCUGGCUAGACUGAGAUUGAAGUUGUGGACUUGUCGUUGUAUCCAUAUGUAGUCAUGUUUUUUUCAGUUCCUUAUGACGCUGAUUGUAACUUUUGCCUGCUAUUGAAAAUGGCAUGCACUCAAUAAAGUGUUUAGGUUGAAGACAAAUGUUUAGAGCACAUCACAUAAUUGUCAUUUGUCUUACUCUGGCAUUCUUCUCAAAUUUAGAAGAAUCAGGUUCCACUGUCAAGGUGAUCUCAUAAAGCACCAUUAGUUGAUUUGUUAUUACUAAUAAAUACAUUCGUUGGAUGGAUAAGUAUUCUCUACCUGCACAAGGGAGUUGUAUAUGCAUGGCCCUGUGUAUUACUCAGUCAGUUUUACUUAUCAAUGCAUACAAUUAUUUUUCUUAAGCAGUCAAAGUCAAGUUGGAUUCCAAGGGAAUGGAUUGGCAUUAUUUGCUAUAAGCAUAUAUAUUAGAUGAUGGCAAUAUCAGCUCCGUUAUGCAGAUAUACCAGAGUAGCUGAGUGCCAUAUGCCUACGACUAACAUACUGCUGUAUAUUAUUGCCAUAUGCUUUUGUUUGGGUGAAAUAAACUUGUAAUUAUUGCCUUCUUUGGAACUCCCUAAACAGUGAAAAGGAGUUUCAUCAGAAAAGAAGACAUGUGAAGGAAAUUAAGCAGGAACGGGAGUGAGGGAGGCAAGUCAGAAGGUGAUGCUUCACGCGGGAUUGGAUACUUUCCUAGGAUUUCAUAAUGUUAGAACCUUGUUCGAUGAUUGUUGUGUGACAAUUUUGAGAUACGGUUUAGGCAACCUUGCUCUUCACCAUUCAAGGUUAUUUUCCUUUUCUUUACUGCCUAACACUUCCAGAGGGGUGUAAGGAAAGCAAAGAAGGAGAAAAAAUUCGAAGAGAGUACCUCUAUCUGGAAAUGCCAAUUUUCCACUGCUCAAGCCUGAAGUGAAUGAACCCAUAUACAAUUGAACGAUGAUGUUAUUCAUAUUGUUUGACCUUGUACUUGCUGUUUGGAAGAACCUACGGAGGACUUUCAUUGUCAUUAAGAAGUCUUCCAUAUAUAGCCCAAACCAAUUCACGGUGCUUAUCACAUUUUGCUCUCCCGAAUGUACCACCCCCUCUACCAUUUUUAUUAUUCUUCUAUAUAUUUUAGUUUUAAUGAAUGAAAAGCGGCGCGGCAAAGCGCGCGUUUGCUUCUAGUUACAGUGUAAUUUACUCAAAAUUACUGAACUUACAAAUACA